rnacentral:rRNA from 1 species
GGGUUUGAUCAUGGCUCAGGAUGAACGCUGGCGGCGUGCUUAACACAUGCAAGUCGAACGAACCUUUGGGUUAGUGGCGGACGGGUGAGUAACGCGUGAGAAUCUGCCCUCAGGAGGGGGAUAACGGUUGGAAACGACCGCUAGUACCCCAUAUGCCGCGAGGUGAAAUGAAUUUCGCCUGAGGAUGAGCUCGCGUCUGAUUAGUUAGUUGGUGGGGUAAAGGCCUACCAAGACAUCGAUCAGUAGCUGGUCUGAGAGGAUGAUCAGCCACACUGGGACUGAGACACGGCCCAGACUCCUACGGGAGGCAGCAGUGGGGAAUUUUCCGCAAUGGGCGAAAGCCUGACGGAGCAACGCCGCGUGAGGGAUGAAGGCCUCUGGGCUGUAAACCUCUUUUAUCAAGGAAGAAGAUCUGACGGUACUUGAUGAAUAAGCCACGGCUAAUUCCGUGC